GAUAAUAAAUAUAAAAGCUAGUUUUACAAUGAUCUUUUGUCGUAAGUUGAUCACUUCAUUGAUAUUUCAACUUUCUAUUUAUAUAUUUUAUUGUGCUUGCAGCUUCUAAUGCUUGGGGAUCAUAAUUCAUAGAUAUCCGAAGACCAAAAACUCAGCUAGAAGACUGAUGCUAUUAUAUAAUUACCAAUUACUGUACCUUGUAAUAUAAAUAACGCCAAUGAAGAAAUAAAUACUUGUAUUUUAUGCUAGCCAAUAUAUUAUAUCAAUUUACUUUUUUCCGUCUAAUUGGUAUUGAUAUGUGUUCCCUAAUUUACAAUCCAAGAUUAAUCCUUUAUUUUUGUGGACAUGCUAUCAUUAUUAUCAACAAUUUUUUUCAUAUACGAUAAAUAAUAACUGAAAAUCUAAUAUCGUGUUAAAAAAUGUAGUCAUCUAUCUAUCGGCUAUGUUAAACAUGUUGAUUCUAAUUGCUUAAAAAACAAAUUACAUUUUAGGCAUUGAACUAGGGAAUCAAGUUGAGUCAACAAAUAUAUUUUCCUCUUAACAAAAAUGCUUGUAAUUUAUGGCAAGUACAUAGUUGUAAAGUUAAGUUUUUAAAUACGAUUAUAUAGAAUUUCAUUUAACAGAUUUAUGACUAGAUUAAUCUCUUACAGGUUGGAGCAUCCUUAUAACACACCAAAAAAAUCUUAUAUGUUAUAAUUUUGAAGUAAUUUUCGUGUUUGACUCGUUUUGUUUUACAUUUUGAUUUAAUGUAUCUGUUCUAUACACCCACUCCCAUCACAUUCAUUGGAAGGUGUAGUGUGGAAGUAUGUGAUUUUCGGUUUGUGGAUGAUACAAUCCUUAUUUGUAAGCCUACUGAAAAAAUCUUUGGUGCAUGAAGAGUAUUCUACGUUGGUUUGAGUUAGUUUUGGGUCUGAGGUUAAUUUUCACAAGAGCUCCUUAUUUGGUGUAAAUGUGCCAUGCGAGAAAUUUUCUAUCCUGUAAACUUAGUUCCAUUCCUUUCUUUUAUCUAGGUAUUCCGUUUGGGGCAAAUCUGAGAAGAUAUUCUACUUGGAAAAACAUGAUUGAGGUUAUAUCUAAUCAACUUGCUUCUUGAAAACACAAGCAUAUUUCUUUUGGAGGAAGAUUAACUCUUCUUAAUUCUGUGUUGUCCAAUAUUCUAAUUAAUACAUGAAUAAUAAAAAAUACAUUGAGGUGCAUUGAUCAAGUAUAGAAAACUAUGCCAUUAGGAAUAUUCAGGUGAUAAUAAAUAUAAAAGCUAGUUUUACAAUGAUCUUUUGUCGUAAGUUGAUCACUUCAUUGAUAUUUCAACUUUCUAUUUAUAUAUUUUAUUGUGCUUGCAGCUUCUAAUGCUUGGGGAUCAUAAUUCAUAGAUAUCCGAAGACCAAAAACUCAGCUAGAAGACUGAUGCUAUUAUAUAAUUACCAAUUACUGUACCUUGUAAUAUAAAUAACGCCAAUGAAGAAAUAAAUACUUGUAUUUUAUGCUAGCCAAUAUAUUAUAUCAAUUUACUUUUUUCCGUCUAAUUGGUAUUGAUAUGUGUUCCCUAAUUUACAAUCCAAGAUUAAUCCUUUAUUUUU
rnacentral:lncRNA from 1 species